rnacentral:rRNA from 1 species
CGCCUUGCCAGCCCGCUCAGAACUUAAAGGAAUUGACGGGGCCGCACAAGCGGUGGAGCAUGUGGUUUAAUUCGAUGAUACGCGAGGAACCUUACCUGGGCUCAAAUGUAUGUUGACGUAUUCUGAAAGGGAUACUUCUUCGGACAAUAUACAAGGUGCUGCAUGGUUGUCGUCAGCUCGUGCCGUGAGGUGUCGGGUUAAGUCCCAUAACGAGCGCAACCCCUAUCAUUAGUUGCCAUCAGGUCAAGCUGGGGACUCUAAUGAAACUGCCUACGCAAGUAGUGAGGAAGGUGGGGAUGACGUCAAAUCAGCACGGCCCUUACGUCCAGGGCUACACACGUGCUACAAUGGCCGGUACAAAGGGCAGCUACCUGGUGACAGGAUGCUAAUCUCAAAAGCCGGUCUCAGUUCGGAUCGGAGUCUGCAACCCGACUCCGUGAAGUUGGAAUCGCUAGUAAUCGUGGAUCAGCAUGCCACGGUGAAUACGUUCCCGGGCCUU